CUCUUGUUGCCUUGUGAGGAAGGUAUGUGUUUCUCCUUCGCCUUCUGCCAUGCGUGUAAGUUUCCUGAGGCCUCCCCAACCAUGUGGAACUGUGAGUAAAUUAAAACUUUUUCCUUUAUAAAUUAUCCAGUCUUGCUAUCUUUAUAGCCAGGUGAAAAUGAACAAAUAGACUUUUAACAGCAAAAUAAAGGAAAAUGAAAAACCUUCUCUCCAGAGGUGACCACAAUUAACAACUUGGAAUAAAUAAGUAAUAUUUAAUUGGUUGCCAAAUCUUUGACACAUCUGAGUUACUUUUAAUCAUUGUAGGAAUUCAUAUAUUCUAAGCUUUUAUAAGCUGAACUCCAAACAAUAAAACUAAGAGGAAGAAAUUAUCGUGUUGCAUAAAACGAGUUAUAAAUUGUUCUUGUACACUUUAUAACAUCCUUCUAGUGUGUGAAUUUCGGGUUUUCUGAGUUUUAGCUAAAUCUGUGUAAGAAUGACAUAUUACAAAUUAAUAAUGGGAUUAACUGUCUCGUAAGUGCAAAAAGCAAAUUUCUAAAACCUGCCUUAGCCUAUAAAGGCUUCAGCUGUCUACCUCAGCAGGAGGCCAAGAGAACCUGAAUGUUUUGCUAAAAGACCUGUGAGACUGGAAAAAUUCCAAGUUCAAAAUCAUGUGCUUUUGGAAGAAACAUAUGCUUAACAUUCUGCAAGGAUCUUUCAGAAAAUAGAAGGAUUUUCUAUCAGGAUACUUAGAAAGUGAGAUGUAUAUGUCAGGCUCUGCAACAUUUAAAAAUAGCCUGUUUUCUCCAACAAAUGGUAUACAGUUUUUUUUAUAGAUAAUGUUUUGAGAAAAUGAAAAUACUCCUAUAUGAAUGAACUUUCAAAGCUAUUUUCUGAGCUGUUAAGCAUUUUCUGUGUGUGUGUUUAACACUUUGUUAUAAAGAGCAAAUCACUUGAAAAGAAGAUUCUUUUUCAUAGUCUUACUUGCAAUGUGAGUUGAAAAAUACUUUCAGCUUUCACUACUCAGUUGUUAUGGGGUAUCACUCUUUCUGGCUUGUCUCCCGGCCGUUUUCUUAUUCUUUUACUUUACUUUUCUUUCUUUCUUUCUUUCUUCUUCUUCUUUUUUUUUUUUUUUUGACACGAAGUCUUCUUCUGUUGCCCAGGCUGGAGUGCAGUGGUGCGCUCUUGGCUCACUGCAACCUCUGCCUCCAAGGUUCAAGCGAUUCUCAUGCCUCAUCUUCCUGAGUAGCUGGGAUUACAGGCGUGCACCACAAUGCCUAGCUAAUUUUUUUUGUGUUUUUAGUAGAGACGGGGUUUCACCAUGUUGGUCAGGCUGGUCUAGAACUCCUGACCUCAGAUGAUCUGCCUGCCUCGGCCUCUCAAAAUGCCAGGAUUACAGACGCGAACAACUGCGCCUGGCCCAUUUUCUUUAUUUUAUGUGGAGAGGGUUUCUUAUCAGCAUGUGAUUUAUAUCUUUGUGCAGAUUAGCUGCUAAAAGGGACAGGAAGAAAGUAUUAUAAAGCUUUGCUGUGUUCUCUAGUGGGAGGGUACUGGUGGGUAGAAACAUGCUUUGUUUCCCAAAUACACAACCAGCCUUGGUAGAUGGGGACAGAGGCAUAUGGUCUCUACUGGAAGUUACUUGCAGAGCCUACUUACUGUUAGACUUACGAGGACGAAAGAAUCUUGAAAUGUCUUCUAAUCUGCCCCCGUGUUCAGGUAGAACAUUGCAUAAGCAUUGUCUUUUAAUGUCUUAUUUUCCUUCUGUUCUUCUUUUCCUUUUCUCCUCUCAGUCCCCCCACUCCAUCCUUCCUUCUGCCAUUUCCUUGUCCCUCCUUCUUCCUCUCAGGGAAAUUAUUCAUCCUCUUUUCAGAUUGCCCCUGAGUUGGCCAGAGUUCAAGGGAGAGGACCCUGGCUCAGGGAUCACAAGAUUUAAACCCAGAGCAGGUGGAAAAGUGGCUCUUUAAUGAGAUCACAGAUAAGAUACACAAAUUACAAAAAAUUAUUGAUUGGCUCAUGCUCUGGUCUAAUUCCAGUUUAGGAACCAAGUCUCAUGCACUUGUACUGGUUGUAAGGAAAUCACCAUGUUUAUGGUGUGAAUGAGGAUUAAACUGGGACCCAAGGCAUCUUUGGAAGAGGCUGGGGCAAGAAGCCAACUGGCCGCUCCACCACCCCUGACAUUUUGGAGUUCAUACUUCUCUUGGUUCACUUUCCCCAGAGGUUACCACAUCAGCACUCAGAGAUUGUCUCUGUCUUAGUGCUGCCAAAUACACUGCCAGGAACUGGUGCUUUCUUUUUUAUUAGUUGUAGUUUCUGAGGAGUAAUUAUAGCUUUUCCUUUCUGAGAAUGAUGUUUUCAGGACAUAAACAUACUCCACACCUGUUUUCUGUAACGUUGUCAGAAGAUAGCCCUCAGCUGGCAGCUCCCUCUGGAAACUGCCCAUGGCUGUUCUUGGUGGAGGCAGCUUGCAUUAGUGACUAACUUAGGAGGAAUCUAAGGCCAGGUGCUCCUGCUGCCACGCAGGACAAUUCUGAAGGUCCAUUUUGGCUUUAUUGUGCCUCCAUGUGAGGCAGGACAAUAGGGUCUGGAGGCAGGGAAACCAAGGCCAAUUCAUGCCAACUUCCUAGAAAUAAAAGGAAAGCCCCGACUUUCCACACCUAAGUAACAAAAGGACCAGAGGCUACUUACUUUGCAACGUCGCUACCCCCGUCCCCCAUCCCCCCCUUGCUUUCUACAACCAAUCAGACACUUGUUUAGGGUGUAACCUUUGUAACUUCAGCCUCUGAUUGCAGACCACUACUUCAUUUACUUAGGGUGUACACCAAGUAACCAAUGAAACCUUUAGAGGGUGUUUAAACCCCAGAAAAUUCUGUAAGGAGAACUCUUGAGCCGGCUCCCCCUCAGUGGAGUGUACUUUCAUUUUCAGUACAGCUCUGCUUUUGUUGCUUCAUUCUUUCCUUGCUUUGUGCGUUUUGUCCAAUUCUUUGUUCAAAAUGCCAAGAACCUGGACACCCUCCACUGGUAAUACAUGGAGUGGGCUGAAGCCUUUGUUGAGGCUGUAUCACUGCUCAGCUUCUCUUUCUCAGUCCUGGUCCCUUCUCCUUCCUUUCACAGGGCUUAAUCCCACGAGCAUUCUCUAAUAAAUGUGCUGCGUGUGAAUCCCUGUUUCAGAGUCUCUCCAGGGAACCUAACCCGUAAAAAUUAUCUUUUCUUAAUCUUGCCAGGGAAGACAAUCAUGCACAAAAGUAAAAACCCUCCAAACAGAAAAAGUCUCAUAAAUUACUGGCAUUACAAUACAUUACACAGGCUGGUGCUUUAGCAUGCCAAGGUCAAGUUCUCAUUCUCUUUGGCUGGGCUACAAGAAUGGGUGGGUAGAACCCCAAACAACUGGGUAGAAGAACAGAGAUUCAGACUUUCUCAUAGAAAAGAAAUUUCCAGAACUGACUCAAUACCAAGCUACAUCGGAGGCACCUUCAUGCAGGGGCUAAGGGGAUAGACUCUGUGGACAGAAUACCUUAGUUUGCAUUCUGGCUCUGCUAGUCACUGUGUCUCCAUGCCAUACUCCUCUCAUUUGUAAAAUGAGAACAGUAGUGGUACUUUAUAGGGUUAUGAGAGACUGAAUGUACAAAUAGACAAUGGCCAGACCAUAUGCAGAAAUAGUACCCUUACGGUCUGCAGCAACUAGCCCAAAAACCAACCCAUUAAGCCCAUGAAGCUAGCCUGCCUACAAGUCAGCUUUGUAUGAAAUCAGACCACAAUCUCUAACAAACAGUCCAGGAAGUCAAACAAUAACUGCUGUAACAACUGGCCCCAAGUGGCCAGGACUUGAUAAAUGACUGACAGCUUCCCCAGUUUUUGUUCCUGAUUCCAAUAUGCAACCAACCAGGGAAAGUUAAAUAUGCUCCCUAUAGGAUGCUCUGCUCCUAGUCAGCCCACCCACAGCUUCCCCAUACCAACGUCCUUCAAUCAGAACAUACCAGAAGCUGUCCCUUCUUUCUACUAUGAAGCUUUCCCAUUUUUCUGCCUGCCUUUGAGUCUCUGCCAAAACACGUGAUAGUGGUUGACUCCCUUGCUAUAGCAAGCUUUGAAUAAAUAGAUGUCUUUGUCCAUUUUCUGCUGUUAGAAUAGCACAGACUGUGUAAUUUAUAAAGAAGAGAAGUUUAUUUGGCUCACAGUCCUGGAGGCUGGGAAGCCCAGGUUUGAGGGGCCGCAUCUUGGAGAGACCUUUCUGUUGCAUUAUAACAUAGUGGAGAGCAUCACAUGGCAAAGGAGGACAAAAGAGGGUGAGACAGAUAAAGGGGGCCAAACUCCUGCGAUAACUAACCCACUCCCACCAUAACGGUGUUAAUCCAUUCAGGAGGGCAGAGCCCUCAUGACUUAACAGCCUCUUAAAGGUGUCACCUCAUAACACUGUUACAAUGGCAAUACAAUUUCAACGUGAGUUUUGGAGGGGACAUUCAAAUCACAGGAAUUACAUUUGCUUUCUCAUUUGGGUGGUCUUGUUUAUUUCCACAGUUAAUGAGUGAAUGGGUUAACAUUUGUAAACCACUUGGAAACAGUGCCUGGCACAUAAUGCUAUAUAAUACUUUAAAGUAAAAUAAGUAGCAGAUCAUGGUUUAGAGGUGAUACCCAGACUUAAUAAUUUCCUCACAUGUUUUGUUUAAUACUGUAUUUUUUAUUAUAUGAAUCCACUUUAAUUAAUUAAUCAUUUUUUUUUUUUGAGAUGGAGUCUAGCUCUGUUGCUCAGGCUGGAGUGCAGUGGCACGAUCUUGGCUCACUGCAACUUCCGCCUCCUGGGUUUAAGCAAUUCUCCUGCCUCAGUCUCCCGAGUAGCUGGGAUUACAGGUGCACACCACCAUGCCCAGCUAAUUUUGUAUUUUUAGUAGAAACGGGGUUUCACCAUGUUGGCCAGGCUGGUCUCAAACUCCUGACCUCAGGCGGUCCACCUGCCUUGUCCUCCCAGAGUGCUGGAAUUACAGGCAUGAGACACCACGCCUGGCCCUAAUCCACUUUUAUUUCUGAGGACUCCUGAUUUUCAGAAGUUCUUAAGUGGAGAAAUUGACCUACGUAGUCGGUAGAGGGUUCUAUAGCAGACACCAGGCCUGACAGGUGUCCCUUCCUUUGCUCCAGAUGGCUUCCAGGAGGGCUUUUUCAACACCCCAUCUCUGUAGGUUCUGGUGUUAAUUUCUCAAGUGUCCUAUUGAUGCCUUUGAUUCUAUCUGUCUUCUGGGCCCAAGACCCUUGGUUCUGGAAGGCUCUCUUCCCAUGUUGUACUAUUUUGUGGAUCCCAUAAUCUACUUUUAUCCAUCAUGAUGCCAUGUUCACAUGUCAAUUACACUAUCCUUUUCAGCCUUGUCUGAUGGGAAAAUUCCUCCAGGAAAUUCUACAUACACCAAUAAAAUUCUAUAUAUGCCCAUUUAUAUCUCUGAUCUAUUAGCCUACCAGAAUUAUCCUAUAAAAUACCUAGAUAUGUAGAGAAAUUUGCAACUCUGGUUUCUACUUCCAGAUUAUAGCAGGCAGAAACUUUGGCUCUUGGCCCAUUGAGUUACUCUUGAUCUGUUUCAGUGUUCCAGACUGGGACUUAGGGGCAAAAUGAGGCCUUGUCCUUGGCCUCGAAAAAGGUCAAAAUUUUACUUCAGAAAACUGGCAUGUCUAGGUUUCAGAUUGUCCUGGGUCUUCUGGUGUCCUGAGCACAUUGAGGCUUAUUCUUUUGCUUUUGGUUGUCUGUACCAGCCGCUUAUACAGGGCCAGUUCUGACCUGGAGGGUGAUGGCAUGGAAUUUAAGACUGGUGACUUGGGGGUUUAUGGGAAUAUGUAUGAAUUCCAGUUUAGUUCCAAUUAGUGGCUCUGAAUUUUCUUUCCCUUGAUAUGGUCAGAUUAUGCUGUGAUAUUGGCAGAAAUGAGUUCCUGACUUUUUCCCCUAUGGUCUAGAUAGCAGAAAAUCCAGCUCAGCUAGACAUAUAAGCUUGUGCACAGACACUGCUGAAAAUGGUGGCUGAUGUGGGCGCUCUAGGAGACUGGCCCUGUUUUCACAUUAUCGUGGCCCCUUGGGAAAGUGAGAUCAACUCUUCAUUGAAAGGAGGUUGAUAUUGAAGAAAAGAACUUUAACAGUGUUUGAAUACUUUUCUUUUCUUUUUUUUUGGUUUGAGAUGGAUUCUCACCCUGUCACUCAGGCUGGAGUGCAGUGGCAUGAUCUCAGCUCACUGCUACCUCCUCCUCCUGGGUUCAAGCGAUUCUCCUGCCUCAGCCUCCCAAGUAGCUGGGAUUACAGGCAUGUGCCACCACACCUGGCUAAUUUUUUAAAAAUAAUAUUUUUGGUAGAUUAGGGGUUUCACUAUGUUGGCCAGGCUAGUCUCGAACUCCUGACCUCAAGUGAUCUGCCCACCUCAACCUCCCAAAGUGCUGGGAUUACAGCCGUGAGCCACUGUGCCCAGCCAGUAUGUGAGUUCUUAAUAGUCAAAGCAAAAGAGCAUGUAGGUAACAAGUUUGUAAUGGAAGAAGGACUAGAAGGAGGUGAUCAGACAUGGUUUAGAACAGUGAUAGUGUGGCUUGAAAGCUGUGGCAUGCAGCUGGUAGCCCAAUGUUGCCAAGAACCACCAUCCAUUUGGAAGCAAACCCUUCCUUAGAGUGGCCUGUUGGAGUCUCCACCCAUGUAGAAUCAGCUUGCAGAGCUGGUUCCUCAAAAGAAAAGCUUUGCAAUGAAUUAGAAGGACAAUUUUAAGAGAAAAGGUGCUCUGCUAGUGACAGCUGACAGCAAAUUUGGAGACCGAAGGACUAUUUCUUUAACAGGUGACUCUGAGUCAUGAAGAAAAAUAUUAUAUUUUACAAAUUCUAAGAAUACAUCUAUAGGAUGCAUUUACAAAGACCAGAUUAUUACAAACAAUUCAAGUAAUAACAAGUUCAAUAACCUAGAGAAUUCACUGACAUGGAGCACCAUUUCUCAGUGUCAAGAUCUGUUGCAAGGACCAUAGUUCCAUCGAACUAGGUUGAAAGAGAAAUCACUGGAAGGAUACUGGGCUCUCUCAGGAAAUGAGAAAGUAGGUAUGGGCCUCAUAGAUGCUAAAACCAAUAACUUAGAGGGUCAGGAAGGAGAAUUCUCUCUUCUUCUCUGAAGCCAGGUAGUCUAUUUUCUUUGCUUUUCUUAAUCUCCCUGAUUCAUGAUUGGCAUUUUCUUUUCUUUUUUAUUUUUUUGAGACAGGGUCUUGUUCUAUCACCCAGGCUGGAGUGAAGUGGCAUGAUCAUAGCUCACUGUAACCUAUAAUGCAUGGACUAAAGUGAUCUUCCUGGCUCAGCCCCCUAAGGAGCUGAAACUACACUCAGGCAUGUGCUAACACAACUGGUUGAUGUUUUUUUUUUUUUUUUUGAGACAGAGUCUCACUCUGUUGGCCAGGCUGGAGUGCAGUGGUGCAAUCUGGGCUCACUGCAACCUCCAACUCCCGGGUUCAAGUGAUUCUCCUGCCUCAGCUUCUCAAGUGGCUGGGAUUACAGGCGGAUGCUACUGCGCCGGGCUGAUUUUUGUAUUUUUAGUAGAGAUGGGGUUUUGUCAUGUUGGCCAGGCUGGUCUUGAACUCCUGACCUCAGACAAUCCGCCUGCUUCAGCCUCCGAAAGUGCUGAGGUUAAAGGCAUGAACCACCAUGCCCGGAUCUUUUUUUUUUUUCCUAUUUUUUAUAGAGUCAGGGCCUUGUAAUGUUGCCCAGCCUGGUCUAGAACUCCUGGCCUCAAGUGAUCCUCCUGCCUUGGCCUCCCAAAGUGCUGAAAUUAUAGGCGGAAACUACUGUGCCUGGCCCUAGAUCAGCAUUUUCUAUUUUAGCAUGCACAUGGCUGUCCCAUCCAAGCUGCAUGUAGCCUUCUAGAUACUCAAUAAGAACUCAGUACAGGCUGUCUGGUCCUCCUGUCUUUUGGAUCCAGUUCUCUCAUGACAUCAUUUGCUUGGCUCAUAGUAUUGGUAUUGGCAUGUAUUGGUUCUUCUUAGGUCAUGUCCCCAGCUCUUGUCCAAUCAGCUGUGGUCAUGGGGGCAAAAUGACUGUAAGAGGAGUUUUAUUCUGUCAUUCAUUCAAUAAAUAUUGAACAUCAAAAAAUUUUGUUUUGGCCAGGUAUUCUAAGUAGCUGGAGUUCAAUCUUGAGCAAAGCAUACAUACAUGGGUCUUGUUGUCAUGGCCUUAUAGUAUAGCAGGGAAGACAGAUAUUAAUGAAAUAUUGUAAAAAUUAUUUAUUUAUUAGAGACAGGGUCUCACUCUGUCGCCUAGGCUGGAGUGCAGUGGUGUGGUCAUAGUUAACUGCAGUCUUGAACUCCUGGCCUCAAGGGGUCCUCCUGCCUCAGCCUCCUGGGUAGCUGGGACUACUGCUGGGACCACUAUUUAUUUUAAAUUUGUAGAGACAGAGUUUUGCUAUGUUGCCCAGGCUGGUCUCCAACUCCUGGCCGCAAGUGAUCCUCCUGUCUUGGCCUCCCAAAGUGUUGGGAUUAUCAGUGUGAGCUGCCAGGCCUGGCCAGAUAUUAAUGCAGUAUGAACACACACGAAUAUGUAACAAGAUGCUGUAGGGUGCUGAACGGGAUCCUGUUUUCUCAAUUUUAUUACUAAGGCUCACAAUAAGGAAAAACCACAGCAAGCAUUCUGUACUCUAAGUUGGAGGGACAAUUAGUGCUCUGGACCAGCCACACCACUCAGGACUUCUUGGGAAGCACUCAGAGAACAGACCCAAAUGCCUCCCACAACACCUGACCCCCCUCCUCUGGAUAUGAGAAGAGGGCCUGGAGGGGGAAGAGGAAUGCCGCCUUUUGGAGGACAGCAGUGUUUGAGAUGUGAAGCUAUUCUUUUCCUUCUCAAGCUGGAGGGAAAGUGGGGAUUUUUUCUUUCCAAAGCCAAGGCAGGGAAGCCCCCAAGAGAACCAUUAGUGAAGGAGCUGCCUUGUAUUCUUAUGAACAGUUCAGUUAAUAACAAGUUAAGUAACAUACAGUAGGGUCUCUAAGCGGGCAUCUGCUCAUCUAGCAGACUUGCUGGGCUGCUGCUGUGUUACUGGAACAGGACAAAGGCUUUCUGGGGAGAGAUCUGUGGCAGGUGGGAAGGAAGUCAAUGUUUCCUUGCCUCAGGCUUCAGGUUAUUGCCAACUACGGAAGUUGGAUAUUACAAGGGCCUACUGGCUGAAGAAUUGGCCAUGAGGGAAGAAGAGAUUGGGGCUACAGAGGCCCUGGGCUGCUACAUUAUGGCAUAAAUUAAUGCACAUUAAAGCCAGCAGCGAUUGGCCCAGUCACUCUAAGAGUCACCAUCUGUUUGGGAAUGAGCCCUCCCUCCGAGGGGCCUGUGGAGUGUCUACCCGCCUACCUGACACUAAAGACCAGAGAUCUAGGAGGGCAGUUAAUGGCCCUUGGGAGAGAAUGCCAAGUUCACUCUUGUUCCUCUUUUUACCCCAAGACCAAAGGAGCAGGUACAAGGAAGAGAAAGAGGGAAGGGGAGGUGCAUGAGAACAGACCCCAGACUGUGUCCCCUACAGCAUCCCCCACCCUCUCACCCUCAGCCACUGGAGCCACAAAGGAGAGAAAGAGACCUGAUCGAAUAUUGACUUAAAUUUUAAAAUGAACAGGACCAAACCUUUAAGAAACAGAACGCAAUUGUUUUCAUCAUGGAAACUGAUCACUAAGAUUAUCAUGGUAUUCAGUGAAAAGGGAUUUUAAAUAAGGGAGUAAGUAAGGGGCUCAGGGUUUGGGGGAGGUGGACAGAAAGCAGAGAGGCAUUGCAACCAUGUGCUCAGCUCCACCUGGCAAGAAACCUACGGAAGCAAGAAAUCAGUGUGAAAUGAAUGCCCUCCAGGGAGACACAAGGAAGGAGUCUGCUGUCAAAGAGAAUACAAAGAAAGAUUUGGGUGUGUGGCUGUAAAAAUUGGCAUUUUGAAUUAGAUUUCUAGUGCACCUUUCAUUCUAAGGGGAGAAAAAUAGGCCCAGGGAGAAGUAACCUCCUUGAUCCCACACGGCCAGUUGCUGGAGAAAGGCAGAGACUAGAAUGCAGUGCUGGGCUGACUUGGAUGGUCAAGUGCAUUCCUUCUCCAACACUUAGCAUCAUUUAGCAUCAUUCCACAAGGGAGUGAGAAGGCAGGGGGGUAUCUGAUGCUGACAACAGUCAUUUCCCCCCUUGUAACAUUCUUCACGGUCAGCCCUGGGAAUCAGAUUUCUGCUUUUUAGGGAAUUCAAGACCAGCUACAGUCACCUAGUAUUCUGUGAACAGGUGCUGGCUUUCUUCUUCUUCUUCUUCUUUUUUUUUUUUUUUAACACUUUAUAUCAUUUAUUAAUGCAGUAUACGUUAGAUCUAAAAUCUGUAGUUUCUAAGCACACUAUGUUUAGAUCUUUCAGAUCCUUCUGCAGUUUUAGGUUAUUUCUACAGAGGUACCUUUAAGUGAAUAAAUAACACAUUCUAUAAUUCCUGAAAAUAUAGAGUGAAAUAAUUUAAAUAUAAUUUGGGCACAUAUUGAUUAUGAAAAUAGAUUAUUUCUCAAUACAAUACUUCUCUGUCUUGGUAAAAAUAAUAAAGCAAAGCAAAUAAUUCAUUUCUGAAGUUGCUUUCCUUCACUUGUAAAGGUCUGAUCUCCUCCCACUAUGCAUAUGUACCCUUUACUGUUAAGGAAAGCUUUGCAUAUGUAGAUAUAGAAGAAUAAGCUACAUAAAUACUAAAGAUAUGUCAUUCUCCCAAAGGAGACACGGGUUUUUCAAUGAUUCCUUGCCUCAUGUUGAUGAGUCUGUAGAAUUCAGAACCCAUUUGGACACAGCUAAUAUCCCUGCUCUUGCGGUAGAAAUAAGGACACCAGGUCACUGGUAGGGAGGUACAGGCCCUUCCUCUGCUGCUGCAGAGAGGUAAUGACUCGAGAAAACUAGGCUAAAAUUUGUUUAAAAAAAAAAAACCUAAAAAAUAAGUAAAAGAAUCACAGGUGCUGACUGAUUGGUAUUACAUCUUGGACCAGCCAAAUGCCUUUAUUUUUACUUUAUAUAUAUUUUUUGGUGGCUGUAAUCAAAUGUGUUUAAAAUUCCUCAUUCCCAACUGUGGGGUUCUAGCUGCAAUUAUAUUACAUUGCCUUUUAACAGGCAACUCUACCAUCUUCAUUCAUAUAAGCUUUGAUUGCAGUAGCUCUGGAUUUAGUAUCUAUUUCUAAGCUGGCCCUAUAUAAACUAUUUGGUAUUUGAAUUAAAUGAAUAUUAAUGACAGACCUUGGUUUUUUGGUUUUGAAGUAUCUUCCUAUGCUUGUGAUGAUUGUAUGAGAAAACUAGGCUAAUAUUGUAAAUAGAUAGAAUUGCUUGGUCUGGUGUUGCGUGGAACUUGUCUAGAAUGAAAUUCUGAGAAAUUCUCAUUUAUAAGUGUUGUAGUGAUAGGUAAGUUCUUCAUCCAUCCGGAGUUCCACUGUACCUUUGGAAUGACAGUGAUGUACAAUGAUGUCUUUCUUUCCACUCUGUCUCAAUCAGUAAGAACUGGCUAUUACUUUAAUUUAGCUACUGUUUUGCCCUAAAAAGUAAACAUUAUGAAAAUGAGCCUGAAAAGAGUCUUAGGGAGUCUGAUCUCACCAUAUUCAUACGGUGUGACAGGUAUUUAAAGAGGGGAGGCAUCACUAAAGCUAUUUAUGAACCUGAACAAUGUUUUUCAAGUUUUCAUAAAGUUUUAACAAUUUAAAUAUCUAUACUGCAUCUAGGUAUUCAAUAAAUAUAAUUGCAUAUGUUGUGCUUUCCAUAAAUUAAAAUCCUCAAAUGCCUCUCAAACCAGGAUGGUAUUUCCACAUCAUGCCUAUUUAAAAGCAAACAUAAUAGAUACUAUUCCUGGCCAUAAAACCAGGUAAACCACCCUACCCCGUUCAAAAGGCAGAAACAUCUAGUUUCCCUACAUAUAUUGAAUGAGUGCUUUUGUGUUACAAAUCAGAAUAUGGAAAAAAAGGUCAGUUUUUUCUCUUAUGUACCGCUGAGAACAAGCAUAAUCCUCUAAAUGUUUUUUUAAAAAAUUUCCUUACAGUGUUGUUUCUUCUAGACAACUGAGUGGGUAGAGAAAGAAAAGUGAUAAGGAAAACAUUUUCAUUUUCUACAUCUUCCUCCAGCCCCUAAAAUUCUCAUCUGACACUUUGUGACAUGUGUAAUGGUGUCAGCAUCUCUUCAAAUAUAGCUCCCUUCACGUUGGACCCUCUGAGGUUGGCUUCUUGAAGAUCACACCCAGACAGAUCACAGUUCUCUAAAUCAGUGCCUGCCAGAGUUGCUCCUCUGAAGUUACAGUUCUUCAACUUUGGAUUUUUUUAAGGUAGCCACUCUCAGGUUAAUUCCUGUCAUCUGACUUCCUUCCAUAUCAGCACCUUUCAGAUUAGCACCUUCUAAAUUGGCUUUAAGAGCAGAAGGAUCCUCAAAAUUACACAGUUUCAGGGAUGCUCCUUCUGCAUUAGAACAGAGCAUCUUGACUCCCUGGAGAUUUGCACAGUCAAGCACUGAUCCAGAGAGAUCAGCUCGUUCAAGAUUUGCACAGCAAAGAUUUGCAUGUGCAAGACUGCAGCGGCUUAAACUGGCAAUUUUGAAGUUAAUGUAUCGAAGGUCCAAACAAGAAAGAUCAGCACCACUGAAGUUCAAACCCUGGCAUCGCAGUUCUGACUUGGUUGGAGUUGCUAGCAAAAAUUGGACAAAUUCCUUUCGGGGUAUUGGUGAAUGAUCCUCCGGUGGUUGAGAAUUCUUUAUUGCCACUUCUAGGUGUUCAAUCAAUGAAUAAAUUUCAAAAAAUCUUGCUGCUUCUAACACACCCAAUAAAUUAAUGCCAUUAUUUACAAUGAGCUGUCCACAAAGCAAGUAAUUCAAAAUGGGUUCAAAGUACACAGGACUUCGGUCAAUUAAGAAAGCUCCUCUAUGAUCUUGCUUAUUUCCCCAGACACCUUUGUCCUUAAACAUGUGGACCAGCAUACUGUCAGGUUCUUUAUUCACUGAAGUGCUCCGUGUAGUUGUAAAGUACCGCCCCUCCAACAUUUAAUGUCAGCCAGUCUGUGUGGAAUCCUAACAAUCCUUCAGGAGGCUUAGAAUCUGCCUGAGGAUCUUCCGUUCUUGGGGCUGCCAUUCAGGAACAGGGCCACCCGCCUCAUCGCGCUGCCCCUGCUGGGUCCUGAGUGAGCCGCCACCCUCCCACCUGGUCCUCCUCCCACCUUUUUCUCCUUCCGCCCUUCCCCUCCCUCUACCCUCUCGGAUUCGCCUCCCUUUGCCACCUUCCUGCCCUUGGAGAAUACCACACACACACCCGCUUUCUUCUAAUGGUAUUACCAAGAUUAAUGAGCUAAACAGAACAUACAUUGAAAGCAUUGUGAUUAACUGACUUGUAACAACUGCCUAAUGGUUCUCUUAUAUUUUUGGGUUUAUUGUAAAUAACAAAAUGGCACCUCAAGUGGUUGAAUCUCAACUACUUCAAGGUUUAUUCUCAGGUCAGGUACUUUAUCCUCAAGGUUUUAUAAGUAUAUUCCCCUCAUUUAUAUUUCAUUCAUUCAUUCAUUCCCCAGACAUUUAUUAAACAGUUUCUUUGUUUAAUAAAUCUUAGGCUCUAAGAUGGGUACAAUAUUGUCCAUUGACUUUGCAGCUCACUGUCUAGUAUGGGAUAAAAGUCUGUAGACAAAUAAUAGCCAGUAGAGUGUGCUAGCUGCUACCUUAGAGGUGUAGUAAAAGUGCAAAGAGUGGUUGGAAAAAAAAAUCUUUGAAGAGAUAUGAGUCUUGAAGUUGGAAAAAAGCAGAAGGGGGUACUCCAGGGAGAGAGAUUAUGAUGGGGAAAUGUGGAGGUAUGGCUGCAUGUCAUGAUUAGAAACUGCAAGAUUUAUUCUGUUACAAAGAUACAUCCACAUGUGUGUUUAUUGCAGCACUAUUCAUAAUACCAAAGACAUGGAAUCAACCUCAAUGCCCAUAAUUGAUAGAUUGGAUAAAGAAAAGGUGGUACAUAUACACCAUGAGAUACUAUGCAGCCAUAAAAAGGAAAGAGAUCAUGUCCUUUGCAGGGAUAUGGAUGGAGCUGGAAGCCAUUAUCCUCAGCAAACCCACGCAGGAACAGAAGACCAAACACUGCAUGUUCUCACUUAAAAGUGGGAGCUGAACAAUGAGAACACAGGGACACAGGGAAGGGAACAACACACACUGGGGCCUGUUGGAGGGUGGGGUCGGGGGAGGAAGAGCAUUAGAAAAAGUAGCUAAUGCAUGGGGGGCGUAAUACCUAGGUGAUGGGUUGAUGGUACAGCAAACCACCAUGGCACAUGUUUAUGUAACAAUCCUGCACAUGUACCCCAGAACUUAAAAUAAAAAUAAAAAUUUAAAAAAGGAAAGAAUUUUUUUUAUCCCAACCUCUAGACCACUUGGGAAGAUUAGUGUGUAUGGAUGAAGCACAGGGUUCAAAAUUAGGAAUGACAGUAGAUAAGGGUGGAAAGGGGAGGCUGAUGCUGGAUCACCGGGACUGGAAAUGCCAUGCCGAGGACUUGACACUUGAUCCUGUACUUUGUAGGGAGCCACCCACUGAACAGCUUACUAGAAAAUGUGCUUCUUAGAAAAUGUCACCCAGAUGGCUGUAUGAAGAGUGGAUUAAGGGUGACAAGAAUGGAGGCAGGAUUAACAGUUUGGCUUAUUAAAAAAAAAAAAAUCAUUGGUAUUUAACCUCAUCCCCAAAGAACUUAAAAUACUUUAUAAAAAUAAAGAGCAAGAGAACAAAGCAUUUUAUGAAGAAAUUGGGGGGUAGAUAGGGAGAGAAAGAGGACUCUUGGGGUAAAAUUAUACAUUAAAAUGCAUGUCCCAGGCAGGGCGCGGUGGCUUAGGCCUAUAAUCCCAGCACUUUGGGAGGCCAAGGCAGACAGAUCACUUGAGGUCAGGAGUUCGAGACCAGCCUGGGCAACAUGGUGAAACCUUGUCUCUGCUAAAAUACAAAAAAUUAGCCAGGCAUGCUGGUGGGCGCCUAUAGUCCCAGCUACUCAGGAGGCUGAGGCACGAGAAUUGCUUGAACCUGGGAGGCGGAGGUGGCAGUGAGCCAAGAUUGUGCCACUGCACUCCAGCCUGGGUGAUAGAGUGAGAUUCCUUCUCAAAAAAAAAAAAAAAAAAAAGGAAAAGAAAAUGUAAGUCCCCCUACUAAAAGUGGGUUGCCCAUUCCUGGUACUGAGAUUUACAAAGAGAGUAGUGCAUUGACUUAGUGUUAAUGUCCUCAGCAACAUCGAUGUGAUACAGGCUGAUGGAAGCUCACGAACCCCAUUUGUCCUUCCUGUGCUCACAGGAGGACUAUAUUUUCCAGUCUUCUUUUUAGUUAGGCCAGUGGGGCACGGGCUAUUGGAAUGUCAUGGAUGUGAUGUCAUCUAUUUCAGUCUUCCAACUCUUCCUUCCCCUUUGCAUAGAUCUUGGAAGGCAUCAGUUUUAAGUGGUGUGAACUUCAACACACUUUGGACUUUUUAUGAGCGAGAAAUUAAUCCUUAUCUUGUUCAAUCACAGAGAUUUUGGAGUUCAUUACUGCAGCAUAUGUUAACCUCCCCUGAUUAAUAAAAGCCCUAUUGUAAACCUAUUUUAAAAAUCAGCCAAACUGUUAAUCAUGCCUCCAGUCUUGCCACCCUUAAUUCACUCUUCACACCGCUGUCUGGGUAUCUGUCUUUUGGAGAGUAGUAGGAAAUUAAUUUUUUGAAUUUGGUAGCGCUAACCUGGUCAGUGGCAGACAGGAUUAUUAUAACACGGUCUCUGGAGAUGCAUUUUUCCCUCCAUUAUUCACUGGCAAUAGCUCAUCGGGCUGCUUCAGAUUUUCUGGAAGCCAUGAAGCCAUGACAAGCCUUGAUUCUCUGCUGAUGAUUUUUGGUCAGUCCUAUGGUCAUGAUUAUAAUUCACUGCAAAUGUAAGAGGGCAUUCAGCAACCUCUGAUUAUAUAUCAGUCUUUCUAUUUUUUUGUUGUUGUUUCUUUGAAAGCACUUAAGAUGCAAUGAAGUUUUUUUUUUUUUUUUUUUUCCCAUAGACAAUGCCUUUUUCUGUUGCACAGGCUGUAGUGCAGUGGUGUGAACAUAGCUCACUACAGUCUCAAAUUCCUAGGCUCAAGGGAUCCUCUCACCUAAGCCUCCAGAGUAACUGGGACUACAGGCACACACCACUGCAGCCGGAUAUAUAUACAUAUACAUAUGCAUAUACAUAUAUAUAUACACAUAUGCAUAUACAUAUAUAUAUAUAUGUAUACAUAUUUGGAAGAUGCGGGGGUCUUACUGUCUUGCCCAGGCUAGUCUUAAACUCCUGGCCUCGAGAUCCUCCCACAGCACUGGGAUUACAGGCAGAAGCCACCAUGCUUGGCCUGCAAUUGCCCUUUUAACAUCCACCAUAAUAGUCUUCCUUUGUUUCUUUCAGAAGUGUUGAGCGCUGCCUCUUGCACAAUUUUUGUCAUGAGUCAAAACCGUUCAUUAGAACACAAAGUAGAUGGAAUAACAACACAGAUAGCACCCUCAUUGACUAAAUGAUGCAGUGUGGUGUGCUAGAGCUCAUUGGCUGAGAGUGGAUGGUACCAUGAGUUGGGCCAACUCUUACUGCCUAAGAAUUUAUCAUAGCAUGCAGAACAUUGGGAAAAUACAGGAACGGUAUACUAGAGCAAGUUGUUUAUAUAUUUUUUAGAAAAAUAUUUCAGAAUCAGGAGGUUUAUAACAAAUACGUGCUGAUCAAGAGUUUGUUAAAUGGAUAUUAUAAGGACUUCUGUGUAGCUGCUUAUUAUAGCUUUCAAAGCAAGCAGCUGGCACAAUGCCACUGCACAAUUCAGUGUUUGUCAUUCUAUGAGGAUUAAAAGUGAUGUGGUCCUGGUAUCUAGUUCUCUGAUCAUCAGGAAAUAAUGGUCUCUCCCAUGAAAUCAUGCUUUGAUACUGAGCUUGUGAUCAAUAUUCUGGAUGACAGAAUAGUGAGAUUAUACUCUUACAAAUUCUCAAUGGAUGGUGUUUUAGGUUUCCAAUUUGGGGAAGAUAUAUACACUUUAUUAGAUAGUUGCAGUGGGCAUAGCCAGAUGUCAAAUUCAGAAAAGUUGUUUUCAUGGAUGAAGCGCAUUGUUUAUUCCAUUUUGAUGUAGUUUUAUUCUUAUUUAUAAAAUAAAAAAAUGCCGGUGUUUUUCCAAUACAAAAACAAAUGGGACGAUUAAUUCCAUGUUUCUAUACAAUAUAGUAUAAUCAUGAUAUCCUUAGUCUUUCCAAUAUAAGUGGGAAAAAGAAGACAUCUAAAUUAAAGUAAUAUUAGCUUUUGGUGAAUCCUUCAAGGUGAAGUGAUUAUAUUAAAUACCUCUCAGUAACCAAAUAGUCUUGCAAUGUGGGAUUUUUAGACAUGGAACAAAAACCUCAGAUUUUGUUUUGGAAUAGGUGAUCUUGAGUAACACCUUCUGAUAGCAAUAUAUAGCAGGGCCAAGUAUAUAUUAUUGUCACUCCUGAUCUGUGACAUUAAAGCCAUACAAUUCACCAGAGGGAAUUCCUUUUUCUUUUUUUCCCAUUAAAAAAAAUACAAGUGUUUGUGCUGAUGUUUUAAUAUCUGAAAUAAAAAAUCCUAAAAGCUAAACUUCUCACUUAUUUAAGUAAAAGAAUCAUUGGGACUCAAAGAGUUACUCUUUUUAGAAAAUUGCCAUCAACUACGUUGUUCCUGUUAGAACUUAAAGAGGAAGGAUUAGAUUCUACCAUUAAAAAUUGUUGUUUGAUAAUUCUGAAGGAAGAUUCUCUUUCUUUGGUGCUCUAUUAUAAUUAUUAUUACAUUUAAAAACAAAAAAAGCCCAGAGUAUGUAAAUUAAAACAGUUGGCAAGUCCCAACUGCUUUCCACCUUACCUUCUCUUUUUCCGUCUUUUAGCUAUUCUUUUUGCUGUUCACCCCCAUAUUUCUAAAUAAUGCAUAGACAUCACUAUUUCUUCUUCCUUCUUUCCCACCAAUUUCCAAGAUGGAAGGUGAGGAUUUCAUACUUUUACAGUUUCCCCCUGCCCCUCCACACACGUAACACCCUAUUCUACCAAUAUUACUAGAUACUUGAUAAAUCAAUAUUUGUUAUGACUAUGUAAAUAGUAUCCAUUGCUGUGCCUUCUAGUGUAUUAUAAUUCCAUUUACUUUUAUUCAACUUUUUGCUUUCUAUAGAUCAAGUAUACUAUUUAUUUUACAUUUUCAACCUUUCUAUUUACCUGUUUAAUUUUUUUUUUUUUUUGAGGCGGAGUCUUUCUCUGUUACCCAGGCUGGAGUGCAGUGGCACGAUCUUGGCUCACCGCAACCUCUGCCUCCCGGGUUCAAGAGAUUCUCCUGACUCAGCCUCCUGAGUAGCUGGGAUUACAGAUAUCCACCACAACCCCCAGCUAAUUUUUGUAUUUUUAGUAGAGAGGGGGUUUCACCAUGUUGGCCAGGCUGGUCUUGAACUCUUGACCUCAAGUGAUCUGCCCACCUCAGCCUCCCAAAGCGCUGGGAUUACAGGUGUGAGCCACCAUGCUUGGCCUUACCUACUUAAUUUAGUCCCAAACUGUAUCUGUUAAAAUAUAAAUUUCCCCACAAUACAUUCAAAUGUAGUGGGCAGGCCUGCCUGCCUGCCUGCCUGCCCUUCCUCCCUCCCUCCCUUCCUCUUACCGUCCCUUUUUUCCUCUCUCCCUUUUCUCUCUUUUUUCAUUUCCCCAACUGGUGACAUUCAUUCUGUAGCCCCAGAUUCCUCUGCCCCAACCUGGAUGAGUUCUCUCCAGGAAGAUGUCUGAGUACUGGUUUUCCUUCUACUGUCACCGUGGAAAUUUCCUUUGCCUCUUUCCUGAAUUGGAUUCCAUGCCUUCUCCUUUCUUGGUUUAUUGCUAUACUUGGUCAAGCACAUCCCCCUGAAACUUUUCGUAAAAGGGUACUCAUGUAAAAGGGCACAUCACAGGUUAAUUUUUUGAGAUUUUCCACGUUUGAACAUAUUUUUAUUCUACUCUUACACUUGAAUGAGUUUCAACUCUGCAUUAGUCAGCUUGGGCUGCCUUAACAGAAUACCACAGACGGGGUGUUUUAAACAACAGACAUUUAUUUAUUUUCUCACAGUUCUGGAGGCUGGAAGUCCAAGGUCAAAAUUCCAGCUGAUUCUGUUUCUGGUGAGGGCUCUCUUCCUGGCUUGCAGAUGGCCGCCUUCUUGCUGUGUCCUCACAAAGCCUUUCUUCCAUGAGUGGACACAGGGACAGAGAGCAAGAGUGAGCUCUCUGGUGUCUCUUUUUAGAAGUACACUAAUCUUAUCACAUCAGUGCUCUAUCUAAAUGACCUCAUUUAACCUCAAUUACUUUCUUAGAGGCUGGAUCUCCAAACAUAGCCACACUGGGGGCUAGGGAUUACAAUUAUUUUUUUCCUUAAAAUUUUGAAGGCAAGUUUCCAUUACCUUCUAGCAUUCAGUGAUUUUGAGACGUCUGAGACCAUCCUCAUUACAAAUCCUGUGUAUUGAACUGUUUUGUCCUUCUGGAGGCUUUUAAGAUCUUCUCUGUAUCCCCAGGCUUCUGAAAUUUCAUGAUGAUGUGCUUUAGUGCAUGUUUUCCUAAAAAAAUUCACGGUGUGGAUGAAAAAUUGUGGAUAUUUUAAAUUGAGAAAUUCAUGUUAUUUAAUCUGAAUGUUAAAAAAUUCUUUUUAGAUAAUUUAUUUUCUAUUUCCUUUUUUUACAAAGAAUUUCUAUUUUUCUGAUUUAGAUCUCCUGAUGGAUCCUUUCUUUUUUUACUAAAUUGUAUUUUUCAUAUUUAAUUUCUGUGUCUUUUCAUUCCCUGUCUAUUGAAUGUUGGUAUCUAUAUCUAUCUAUAAAUAUAUAUAGCCCUGAGGCUAGAUAGUAAAGGUAUACUGUUCUUUCUACUAUAUGAAGGCAACUACCUCUGAUUAUAUUGCUAAUAAGGAUGGAAAAAAUUGCUAAGUGCACACUAAUUUCCAGGAGCUGUGUUAAUUUUCUCUAGUGAAGAUACCACAUUUGCAUUGCAGCAGUGGUUGGCGUCACCAUCUGCUACUGUUUGUGACAGUCUGUAGUCAUCUUUGUGCCCUUUCUGGCUUUGGCAUUGGGAAAACAGAUGCAUUUAAUGGUGUUGUGUUGAGAAUUAUCACCCUGGGUGUCUAAAGUAGUCAAAUUCACAGAAACAAAGUAGAAUGGUGGUUUCCAAGGGCUGGGAAAAUGGGGAGAUAGGGAGUUGUUGUUUAUGGGUGUAGAGUUUGAAUUUUGCAAGAUGAAAAUGUUCUGGAGAUCCAUCACACAAUGUGAAUAUAUAUAACACGACUGAACUGUGUGCUUAAAAUUGGGUAAGAUGGUAAAUUAUGUUAUGUGUUUUUUAUAAUUUUUUUGAAAGCAAAACAACAAUCAAAGAAUUAUCACUGCAUUUCUCAAAUAUUUGAUGGUGGCAAUUAUUGCUGCAAUUAUCAUGGGGAUGUAGCAUUGUUUGUGGUUUACUAUCUCAGUAAAGGCUGAAGCAGUUCCAGAAGUUUCUACUCUGCCCUUCCUACCCAAAUAGCCCUCACUUCGCUGACCAGAGAACCAAAGUAGGGAGUCUACCAAUUACUAAAUGUAUCUAUUCCCACUGUACAUUCUGAGGUUAGGGAAAUGACCGUAGAUAGAAUGGGUCUCUGGUCUUCACAGCCAAUAUCUAAUAACGCAGAAGGUCAGGUAUUUCACUUUCCCCAAUAUUCAGAUAGUCUCUUAAAUGGCAGUAGGACCCUCUGGGAAAGCCCUGGGGGAUGAUUUAGGGUGAAUAUCUGUGGCCGCAUUGCAGGAUCCUUCCUCAAAGUUCUUGCUCAGUCAAAGGGUUUUGGGUGUAUAUACUAUGUAUUUGUUUUUUAGAGUCAGGGUCUCCCUCUCUUGCCCAGGCUGGAGUGCAGUGAUGCAAUCGAAGCUCACUGCAGCCUCAAACUCCUGGGCUCAACGGAUCCUCCUACCCCUUGGCCUCCCAAAGCACAGAGAUUACAAGUAUGAGCCACUGGGCCGGCCAGGUGAACUCACUUAGGUGUGGAAACUAGUUAAGAGGCCGUGAAUUCCUUGCUGCAGCAGCUAGAGUGAGGUGUCUGCCCAGCAGACCUGGAAUUCUUCCAUUUAUAAUUACCAAGCAGCAUCCUUGUAGUCUGUCCACCCCUUUCAUUGACAGGGAUUCCACGAUCUAUUAGACAACCCCGGAAUCCUGCGAGUCUAAACCCUCCGAUAACAACUUAGUUCUUAUGGCUUUAGUGAUCAUUGUGCCCUCCUCGCCUGUGGUGGUCAGGGUUGCUGCCUGUCCUCCAGUACACUAGGAUCCCAUUUCCCCACCAAAGCCAGGGAGCGUUGGUUCUUCUGCAGCGUUUCCCUCUAUCAUCAUCGGCUUAUGGAGAAGAGCUACUGCAGACCUUUAAAAGAUGCCGAUUACUGCCUUUCCCACCAACAAAUGUCUUCCCCUCUCAUCAAUGAAUUACUUAAUUUCCUAAUGUCUUGGUGAAGGCAGUGUCCUCAGGUCCUUCUAGUGGGUAAGGGUAGGAGUGGCUAUGGAGGUCGCUCAUAAUAUAUCUGUUUCAACAUCUCCACCUCACUGAGCUUUUGGAUUCCUUCUUCUACAGUAAACCAGAGGAUUUUUAGCAUGUUAACCUCAUUGACUGCUUCUCACUCUUGAGUCCAGGCUUCAGUUAACCAAUCCAGUAGACUGGUAACACUACUCCCUGGCACUGAAGCCAGUUUAUUAAAUUCUAAUUCUGGGUUACACAUACCCAUAUCAAUACAUGCAGUCCAAACAGCUUUAUAUAUUUCAGUUUCCUGGUGCCAUGCCCUUCAAAUUGCUCCCAUACAUAUCCUUCAGAAUCCUGUAGGGGACAUUGCACUUCCUUGUCCUAUCUCUGUUAGGCUCAAACUCUCAUCAUGAACUUGGAGACAAGAAUGGUUGAGGGUCUGGCCAGGUCCUGAGCAUAAGAAACAUUCAUUUUUGAAGCAACUACCCCCGGUACAAUCAUUGAAAAUUUUUUUCUGCCCCAGGAAAAAGGCAGCGAAACUCAGAGUGGAGAGGGAUUGAUUCCGCUUUCAAGGAAGGUCCAAAAAGAUCUGGGGGUUCAACACACUCAGCCUCAUUUCUGAUUGCUCAGAUGACCUCUUCCCUAUCUCAGGCUUCCCCUCCUUCAUCACCAACCAAUACCCUUAUCGUGGUGAACAGACAUGACAGUGCUGACCACUUAGUGGGUUUUUCAACUCUAUGUCUCCUAAAAACAGGCUUGCUCUUGGGCCUCAGCUAUUUAUUCUGUUACUGCGUAAGACAAAGGACUCUUAACCAAUCUACCUACCUUCCUUCCUUCCUUCCUUCUUUCCUUCCUUCCUUCCUUCCUUCCUUCCUUCCUUCCUUCCUUCCUUCCUUCCUUCCUUCCUUCCUUCUUUCUUUCCUACUGAGACAGAAUCUCAUUCUGUCACCCAGGCUGGAGUGCAGUGGUACAAUCAUGGCUCACUGCAGCCUUGAAUUCUUGGGCUCAAGCAAUCCUCCCACCUCAGCCUCCUGAGUAGCUGGGACCACAGGUAUGCACCACCAUAACUGACUAAUUAAAAACUUUUUUUUUUUUUUUUGGUAGAGCCAGGGUCUACAUUGCCUAGGCUGGUUUUGAACUCCUGGGCUCAAGUGAGCCUCCUGCCUUCCCAAGGUGUUGGGAUUACAGGUGUGAGCCACUGUGCCUGGCCUGGUUUUCUAUGUUUGUUUUGAGUUGAAUGAUUACCAACUCCAAUUUCUUCUUUCCCCUAGGUAUCCUCUCUAGGGAAAUCAGAAAAAGCCAGCUGGUCCCAUAAUCUUUAUAAUCAGCCCUACAUGUUUUAUAAGUACUGUUGUUGCCAUAGCAAUGAUAUAUCCCAGACAGUUUAUUUUUCAGCAACUUGCCUCCUACCUGCAGUUCAUCCCAUCCCUACCUGUGAUGAUCUAAGUAAUGGUGAUGCCAACACAUGCCAUGGGUUACUAGAACCCCACUUCCUUUUAACAAGGAGUUUAACAAGGAGGUUAUUUGCGAGCUUCUCAAAUAUGUAUGAUAAGCUCAACCAAGAAUCCCGUUUUGAAAGUCUUUUUCCUAGUUUCACUCUAGGCAACAAUGACUCUAUCAGUCAGGGUCCUGUCAAGAAACAAAUGGCAUGCCCAAACUAGUUAUUUGGAAGAGGAUUUAAUAGGGGACUAUGCCUAGAGGUGCAGGUAAGGUUUGAGGAAGCUAGCUGAUGCAAUUAUAGGACUACAGGUUAGUAACUGUGGGAAGUUGACAGCACCGGCUGGAAGAGGCAAUGGGAGGAUGGUCCUGGAUCUGGAGAGGCAAGCUCUGGGCAGAUACCUGCCUGUCAAAGCUUGGCCUUUGGGAGAAGGAGGAAGCUACUCAAAGGAGGUAGCAGGGAAAACAAACCCUUUGACCUUUUUUAUUUUCAUUUUUGUUUUUUACUUUUUCUUUUCUCUUUCUUUUUUUUUUAAAUUAUACCUUAAGUUUUAGGGUACAUGUGCACAAUGUGCAGGUUAGUUACAUAAGUAUACAUGUGCCAUGCUGGUGUGCUGCACCCAUUAACUCAUCAUUUAACAUUAGAUAUACCUCCUAAUGCUAUCCCUCCCCUCUCCCCUGACCCCACAACAGGCCCCGGUGUGUGAUGUUCCUCUUCCUGUGUCCAUGUGUUCUCAUUGUUCAAUUCCCAUCUAUGAGUGAGAACAUGCAGUGUUUGGUUUUUUGUCCUUGUGAUAGUUUGCUGAGAAUGAUGGUUUCCAGCUUCAUCCAUGUCCCUACAAAGGACAUGAACUCAUAAUUUUUUAUGGCUGCAUAGUAUUCCAUGGUGUAUAUGUGCCACAUUUUCUUAAUCCAAUCUAUCAUUGUUGGACAUUUGUGUUGGUUCCAAGUCUUUGCUAUUGUGAAUAGUGCCGCAAUAAACAUACGUGUGCAUGUGUCUUUAUAGCAGCAUGAUUUAUAAUCCUUUGGGUAUAUACCUAGUAAUGGGAUUGCUGGGUCAAAUGGUAUUUCUAGUUCUGGAUCCCUGAAGAAUCGCCACACUGACUUCCACAAUGGUUGAACUAGUUUACAGUCCCACCAACAGUGUAAAAGUGUUCCUAUUUCUCCACAUCCUCUCCAGCACCUGUUGUUUCCUGACUUCUUAAUGAUCGCCAUUCUAACUGGUGUGAGAUGGUAUCUCAUUGUGGUUUUGAUUUGCAUUUGUCUGAUGGCCAGUGAUGAUGAGCAUUUUUUCAUAUGUCUUUUGGCUGCAUAAAUGUCUUCUUUUGAGAAGUGUCUGUUCAUAUCCUUCGCCCACUGUUUGAUGGGGUUGUUUGUUUUUUCUUGUAAAUUUGUUGGAGUUCAUUGUAGAUUCUGGAUAUUAGCUCUUUGUCAGGUGAGUGGAUUGCAAAAAUUUUCUUCCAUUCUGUAGGUUGUCUGUUCACUCUGAUGGUAGUUUCUUUUGCUGUGCAGAAGCUCUUUAAUUUAAUUAGAUCCCAUUUGUCAAUUUUGGCUUUUGUUACCAUUGCUUUUGGUAUUUUAGACAUGAAGUCCUUGCCUGUGCCUAUGUCCUGAAUGGUAUUGCCUAGGUUUUCUUCUAGGGUUUUUAUGGUUUUAGGUCUAACAUGUAAGUCUUUAAUCCAUCUUGAAUUAAUUUUUGUAUAAGGUGUAAGGAAGGGAUCCAGUUUCAGCUUUCUAUAUAUGGCUAGCCAGUUUUCCCAGCACCAUUUGUUAAAUAGGAAUCCUUUCCCCAUUCCUUGUUUUUGUCAGGUUUGUCAAAGAUCAGAUAGUUGUAGAUAUGUGGCAUUAUUUCUGAGGACUCUGUUCUGUUCCAUUGGUCUAUAUCUCUGUUUUGGUACCAGUACCAUGCUGUUUUGGUUACUGUAGGCUUGUAGUAUAGUUUGAAGUCAGGUAGUGUGAUGCCUCCAGCUUUGUUCUUUUGGCUUAGGAUUGACUUGGCAAUGCAGGCUCUUUUCUGGUUCCAUAUGAACUUUAAAGUAGUUUUUUCCAAUUCUGUGAAGCAAGUCAUUGGUAGCUUGAUGGGAAUGGCAUUGAAUCUAUAAAUUACCUUGGGCAGUAUGGCCAUUUUCAUAAUAUUGAUUCUUCCUACCUGUGAGCAUGGAAUGUUCUUCCAUUGGUUUGUAUCCUCUUUUAUUUCAUUAAGCAGUGGUUUGUAGUUCUCCUUGAAGAGGUCUUUCACAUCCUUUGUAAGUUGAAUUCCUAGGUAUUUUAUUCUCUUUGAAGCAAUUGUGAAUGGGAGUUCACUCAUCAUUUGGCUCUCUGUUUGUCUGUUUUUGGUGUAUAAGAAUGCUUGUGAUUUUUGCACAUUGAUUUUGUAUCCUGAGACUUGCUGAAGUUGCCUAUCAGCUUAAGGAGACUUUGGGCUGAGAGGAUGGGGUUUUCUAGAUAUACAAUCAUGUCAUCUGCAAAUAGGGACAAUUUGACUUCCUAUUUUCCUCAUUGAAUACUCUUUAUUUCCUUCUUCUGCCUGAUUGCCCUGGCCAGAACUUCCAACACUAUGUUGAAUAGGAGUGGUGAGAGAGGGCAUCACUGUCUUGUGCCAGUUUUCAAAGGGAAUGCUUCCAGUUUUUGCCAUUCAGUAUGAUACUGGCUGUGGGUUUGUCAUAGAUAGCUCUUAUUAUUUUGAGAUACAUCCCAUCAAUACCUAAUUUAUUGAGAGUUUUUAGCAUGAAGCAUUGUUGAAUUUUGUCAAAGGCCUUUUCUGCAUCUAUUGAGACAAUCAUGUGGUUUGUGUCAUUGGUUCUGUUUAUAUGCUAGAUUAUGUUUAUUGAUUUUUGUAUGUUGAACCAGCCUUGCAUCCCAGGGAUGAAGCCCACUUGAUCAUGGUGGAUAAGCUUUUUGAUGUGCUGCUGGAUUCAGUUUGCCAGUAUUUUGUUGAGGAUUUGUGCAUCGAUGUUCAUCAGGGAUAUUGGCCUAAAAUUCUCUUUUUUUGUUGUGUCUCUGCCAGGCUUUGGUAUCUGGAUGAUGCUGGCCUCAUAAAAUGAGUUAGGGAGGAUUCUCUCUUUUUCUAUUGAUUGGAAUAGUUUCAGAACGAAUGGUACCAGCUCCUUCUUGUACCUCUGGUGGAAUUUGGCUGUGAAUCCAUCUGGUCCUGGACUUUUUUUAGUUGGUAAGCUAUUAAUUAUUGCCUCAAUUUCAGAGCCUGUUACUGGUCUAUUCAGAGAUUCAACUUCUUCCUGGUUUAGUCUUGGGAGUGUGUAUGUGUCCAGGAAUUUAUCCAUUUCUUCUAGAUUUUCUAGUUUAUUUGUGUAGGGGUGUUUAUAGUAUUCUCUGAUGGUAGUUUGUAUUUCUGUGGGAUUGGUGGUGAUAUCCCCUUUAUCAUUUUUUCUUGCAUCUAUUUGAUCCUUCUCUCUUUUCUUCUUUAUUAGUCUUGCUAGUGGUCUAUCCAUUUUGUUGAUCAUUUCAAAAAACCAGCUCCUGGAUUCAUUGAUUUUUUGAAGGGUUUUUUGUGUCUCUAUCUCCUUCAGUUCUGCUCUGAUCUUAGUUAUUUCUUGCCUUCUGCUAGCUUUUGAAUGUGUUUGCUCUUGCUUCUCUAGUUCCUUUAAUUGUGAUGUUAGGGUGUCAAUUUUAGA
rnacentral:lncRNA from 1 species